rnacentral:rRNA from 1 species
GAUGAACGCUGGCGGCGUGCCUAAUACAUGCAAGUCGAACGAAACUUCUUUAUCACCGAGUGCUUGCACUCACCGAUAAAGAGUUGAGUGGCGAACGGGUGAGUAACACGUGGGCAACCUGCCCAAAAGAGGGGGAUAACACUUGGAAACAGGUGCUAAUACCGCAUAACCAUAGUUACCGCAUGGUAACUAUGUAAAAGGUGGCUAUACUACCGCUUUUGGAUGGGCCCGCGGCGCAUUAGCUAGUUGGUAGGGUAAAGGCUUACCAAGGCAAUGAUGCGUAGCCGAAUUGAGAGGUUGAUCGGCCACAUUGGGACUGAGACACGGCCCAAACUCCUACGGGGGGCAGCAGUAGGGAAUCUUCCACAAAGGGCGAAAGCCUGAUGGAGCAACGCCGCGUGAGUGAAGAAGGUCUUCGGAUCGUAAAACCCUGUUGUUAGAGAAGAAAGUGCGUGAGAGUAACUGUUCACGUUUCGACGGUAUCUAACCAGAAAGCCACUGCUAACUACGUG